AUGAGCUUUUUGAGAACUCAGGAGAUUGCAGAGAGCACAUCUGAGUGUACCAUCUGGGAUGAGAGCUCUCCCAGCUCUCAUUUGGUGCUGUGGAGAUUGGACUGCUGGAUAUCAGAGAAUUUGGCUGCUGCCAUGUCACAGCAGGCUGAGUCAUUGACUGUUGAGUCAUUAAAGUGCUCUGCUUUUCCUCAAGCCCUCUGCUCCUGUGCUGCUUCACAGGUGCCCGCAGCUGGAAAAAGGAAAGGGAUUGGAAGACCCUCUGAAAACCAGAUGACUCUACUGGCAUCAGUCAGCUCUUAAGUUGUGAUGAAGUGCUGAGAUGAAGAACAUGGGAUUUCUUUCAAAGCCAAGUUGGCCUCCAGUUCCUGUGUUGGCCUCAAAUGUCUGCAUCCAAAAAAAGCUGAAAAUAAAGUCACCUGUAAGGUAUUCUCUGCA
rnacentral:lncRNA from 1 species